CCUACGGGUGGCAGCAGUGAGGAAUAUUGGUCAAUGGGCGCGAGCCUGAACCAGCCAAGUAGCGUGAAGGAUGACUGCCCUACGGGUUGUAAACUUCUUUUAUAAAGGAAUAAAGUGAGGCACGUGUGCCUUUUUUUAUGUACUUUAUGAAAAAGGAUCGGCUAACUCCGUGCCAGCAGCCGCGGUAAUACGGAGGAUCCGAGCGUUUUGCGGAUUUAUUGGGUUUAAAGGGAGCGUAGAUGGGUUGUGAAGUCAGUCGUGAAAGUUUGCGGCUCAACCGUAAAAUUGCAAUUGAUACUGGCAGCCUUGAGUACAUGUGAGGUAGGCGGAAUUCGUGGUGUAGCGGUGAAAUGCUUAGAUAUCACGAAGAACUCCGAUUGCGAAGGCAGCUUACUAAACUGCCACUGACAUUGAUGCUCGAAAGUGUGGGUAUCAAACAGGAUUAGAUACCCCGGUAGUC
rnacentral:rRNA from 1 species